rnacentral:rRNA from 1 species
CCUACGGGGUGCAGCAGUGGGGAAUAUUGGACAAUGGGCGAAAGCCUGAUCCAGCCAUGCCGCGUGUGUGAAGAAGGCCUUCGGGUUGUAAAGCACUUUCAGUGGGGAAGAAAGCCUUGGGGCUAAUACCCUCGAGGAAGGACAUCACCCACAGAAGAAGCACCGGCUAACUCCGUGUCAGCAGCCGCGGUAAUACGGAGGGUGCGAGCGUUAAUCGGAAUUACUGGGCGUAAAGCGCGCGUAGGCGGUCUGAUAAGCCGGUUGUGAAAGCCCCGGGGCUAACCUGGGAACGGCAUCCGGAAAUGGCAGGGUUGGGUGCAGGAGGAGAAGGGAAAAAUCCCGGGGUAGGGGGGAAAAGGGUAGAGGGCGGGAAGAAAAACAGGGGGGAAGGGGGGCUUCCGGACUGACACCGGAGGCGAGGGGGGAAAGGGUGGGUAGCAAACGGGAUUAGAUACCCGAGUAGUC